UUUUACUAGGCAUAAAACGAUGAUGAAUACUAAGUUCAAUCGAAAGGUUACUUUGACCGUCUUACUAACUUAAACUAACCGUGGAGUUGUAGUGCCAGCGCUGAUUGUUUUAGCGCUCCUUGAUUGAUUUAGUCUGCGCUUAUUGUUUGUUAUUUAUAUUUACGGUGAUUUAAUUGUGUUUUUAUAUAAAAACUAUAAUAAUGCGUGUUAUCACUUUGUGAUAAAGAAACACAGGGCACACAAGAUGACAGUCAAGUUUUUAACUUCGAUGGGGUUUAUCAAUGGCGCUUUAGACAAGUCAUAAUGGAAGAGAACAGUCAUAAAUUUGAAGGCCACUUCGUCUCGUUCGAUACCGUCUCGUUGAAUUGUCUUAACUGCGUCGAUAGAUGCCGAGUGAAUCCUGAAUGCUUUUAUGUUCGUCCUGAUUGUUGCUGUUGGCGUAACUCAUAACGGGCGCAAAUCGCUGUUCUAUGCACUUAAAGGACGGACAGUCUUCUGGAGCAGGACGUCAGUUGCCGGAAGGGAGUGUCAAGGACGACCUUUUACAUCGGGGUCUGUUUUUCGCUGUACAAAAGAUUGCUUUCUUACGACCUGAGAAUACCUCGACGUACGAUGCUGAAAAAUACAACAGAAAUAUUUUGAUGGGCUACAGCACUAACUAGUUCUUCCACCGUAAAUUGCGUCUUGAUCAUGACACGAAGCUUAUGUGAACGGGAAUGUAACUGGGGUGAACAAGUUCGUUUGUGCCGGUGUCAGCCGUGUAAAGUAGAGGUCUACGUCAAUGCUUCGACAAUCGACUGCUAGCCAACAGCCAUCUUGGUCAGAUGAUGCCUCACGAUGGUGCUCGGAGCGUAAGGGGUUAUGGUAAAGAGGAACCGUAAAACAACUGUUGCUGGAAAAACAUUAGACCGCGAUGAGGUAGGUGGCGCCAAGCAUCCCUGCGGCUUUAAGAAUCGGAUUAAUCUUGGCCUGAGGAUUUCACGAAGCUGACCUGCAACGGAGGCUGAGGCUUUUCGGAGGUAAAAUAUUUACAAACGUCUUGGGCCAGAUCGGUAGCAGCUCUCUUAGCG